UGGGGGAUAUUGCACAAUGGGCGAAAGCCUGAUGCAGCGACGCCGCGUGGGGGAUGAAGGCCUUCGGGUUGUAAACUUCUUUUGCUCUGAACAAGGCAUGCUAAUGGGUGUGUUGAGUGUAGGGGUUGAUUAGCGCCGGCUAACUACGUGCCAGCAGCCGCGGUAAUACGUAGGGCGCGAGCGUUGUCCGGAAUUAUUGGGCGUAAAGGGCUUGUAGGUGGCUGGUUGCGUCUGUCGUGAAAGCUCAUGGCUUAACUGUGGGUUUGCGGGGGGUACGGGCUGGCUUGAGUGCAGUAGGGGAGGCUGGAAUUCCUGGUGUAGCGGUGGAAUGCGCAGAUAUCAGGAGGAAUACCGGUGGCGAAGGCGGGUCUCUGGGCUGUUACUGACACUGAGGAGCGAAAGCAUGGGGAGCGAACAGG
rnacentral:rRNA from 1 species